GAUAGAUGGAAGCUUCCGUUAUCGCCAACUUAAUCACCAACAGCGGAGCGGUAGGAGCCCCCGCUAUCCUCAGAUGGGUGCUGCUGAGACAUUGGGUGUUUCUGGAGGACUUGAGAGUUGGCAGAGCAAGCCCUGUAUGCUUUCUUUCCCUGGCUCACUAGCACAGGCUAAUGGUGUUGUCGUCAUGUUCUAAGAACAUGAGCUGCCUGUGGACAUGGAAACCAUCAACCUGGACAGAGAUGCAGAGGAUGUUGAUUUGAAUCACUAUCGCAUAGGAAAGAUUGAAGGAUUUGAGGUACUGAAGAAAGUGAAGACUCUCUGCCUCCGCCAAAAUUUAAUUAAAUGCAUUGAGAAUCUGGAGGAGCUACAGAGUCUUCGAGAGCUGGAUCUUUACGACAACCAGAUCAAGAAGAUUGAGAAUCUGGAGGCGCUAACAGAGCUGGAGAUUCUAGAUAUUUCUUUUAAUCUGCUGAGAAACAUCGAAGGGGUUGACAAGUUGACACAACUGAAAAAACUCUUCUUGGUCAACAAUAAAAUCAGUAAAAUUGAGAACUUAAGCAACUUACAUCAACUACAGAUGCUAGAGCUGGGAUCUAACCGCAUCCGGGCAAUCGAAAAUAUCGACACCUUAACCAACCUGGAGAGUUUGUUUUUGGGGAAAAACAAAAUUACUAAACUUCAGAACCUGGAUGCGCUCACCAACCUGACAGUCCUCAGUAUGCAGAGCAACCGGCUGACCAAGAUCGAGGGUCUGCAGAACCUGGUGAACCUGCGGGAGCUGUACCUUAGCCACAAUGGCAUCGAGGUCAUCGAGGGCCUGGAGAACA
rnacentral:sRNA from 1 species